rnacentral:tRNA from 1 species
GUAGUUCAAUUGGUCAGAGCACCGCCCUGUUAAGGCGGAAGCUACGGGUUCGAGCCCCGUC